rnacentral:rRNA from 1 species
AGAGUUUGAUCCUGGCUCAGGAUGAACGCUAGCGGCAGGCUUAACACAUGCAAGUCGAGGGGUAACAUUUGUGCUUGCACAAGAUGACGACCGGCGCACGGGUGAGUAACGCGUAUGCAACCUACCUUUAACAGGGAGAUAGCCCGAAGAAAUUCGGAUUAAUACCCCAUAAUACAUUAAUAUGGCAUCAUAUAAAUGUUAAAACUUCGGUGGUUAAAGAUGGGCAUGCGUAGCAUUAGUUAGUUGGUAAGGUAACGGCUUACCAAGACAUUUAUGCUUAGGGGUUCUAAAAGGAAGAUCCCCCACACUGGUACUGAGACACGGACCAGACUCCUACGGGAGGCAGCAGUGAGGAAUAUUGGGCAAUGGGUGAGAACCUGACCCAGCCAUGCCGCGUGCAGGAUUACAGCCCUAUGGGUUUUAAACUGCUUUUAUAUGGGAAGAAAAGCGUCUACGUGUAGAUGUCUGCCGGUACCAUAUGAAUAAGCAUCGGCUAACUCCGUGCCAGCAGCCGCGGUAAUACGGAGGAUGCAAGCGUUAUCCGGAUUUAUUAGGUUUAAAGGGUGCGUAGGCUGAGAAUUAAGUCAGUGGUGAAAUCUUGUAGCUUAA